rnacentral:lncRNA from 1 species
UUAUCCUUCCAAGCUCGCACACACAACGAACGCGCCCCCCCUCUCGCCUCUGACAUAAAAAGACGGCGGCCGCGGCGCUGGGGAGCCCAUCAGGACACGGUGAUCUCAGUCGCAUUCCGCUGGUCUUGUUCUCGCGGCUGGCCUUCGCGUAGUCAAGCUGCUCGGCGUCGGGGGCGGAGCUAGCGCGCGCGGGGGCGGGGAUCGGGUCGUUGGUCGAUGGCUCUGGAAGCGGAGGCGGCGCUGCGGCGGCCGUUCCGGGCGGCGGGCGGCGGCGACGGGGAGGUCGCGGGCGGGCCGGCGCCGGUGCUCCUCGCCGCGGAGACGGGCCGGCCGGUGGACCCGGUGAUCUGGGGCGACGAGGAGCGGAUGAAGCGGGAGCUCGUGGCGUGGGCCAAGGCCGUGGCGGCGUCCAUGGCGGCCGGCAAGAGCACCACCACCUCCUCCUCGUCCUCAACGCCGUCGUCGCCGUGGCCGUCCAUGAGACGCAGGGGAUCGUAGUGUACGUGCUGUUCCCUGAUGGAUCGGUUUGUAGAUAGAUCCUGUCGUGGACUCGUGGUUGUUGUCUAUAUGCUGGUUUUCAGAGGAGAGGAGUCCCUGGUAUGUACUGUACUGUAUUGAACUUGUAUAUAUAGGAUGAUAGAGGGACAUGCAUGUAGAAUAUAAUAUUUCUCUAAGCAGUUGUAUACUGUUAGUUGGAACUAUUGAGUAAGAAACACGCAUCGAAACUUAACAUUGGGUAAUUGGUGGCUUUUCGUACUUCCAUGAUUUGCGCACAAUGUUUUGAAAGUACAAAAUGCAAGACAAAAUAGUAU